rnacentral:rRNA from 1 species
GAUGAACGCUGGCGGCGUGCCUAAUACAUGCAAGUCGAGCGAACAGACGAGGAGCUUGCUCCUCUGACGUUAGCGGCGGACGGGUGAGUAACACGUGGAUAACCUACCUAUAAGACUGGGAUAACUUCGGGAAACCGGAGCUAAUACCGGAUAAUAUAUUGAACCGCAUGGUUCAAUAGUGAAAGACGGUUUUGCUGUCACUUAUAGAUGGAUCCGCGCCGCAUUAGCUAGUUGGUAAGGUAACGGCUUACCAAGGCAACGAUGAGUAGCCGACCUGAGAGGGUGAUCGGCCACACUGGAACUGAGACACGGUCCAGACUCCUACGGGAGGCAGCAGUAGGGAAUCUUACGCAAUGGGCGAAAGCCUGACGGAGAAACGCCGCGUGAGUGAUGAAGGUCUUCGGAUCGUAAAACUCUGUUAUUAGGGAAGAACAAAUGUGUAAGUAACUAUGCACGUCUUGACGGUACCUAAUCAGAAAGCCACGGCUAACUACGUG